rnacentral:rRNA from 1 species
AUGCAGGCUAUCACCCGGAUCGGUUCCGACCAUGUCCCUGUCCUCCUCUCCUCUACUGAUGAACGCCCCCUCAUCCCUCCUCGGUUCUGGUUUGAGCUCUUCUGGCUCAACCAGGCCGGAUUCCGCGAGGCCGUAUCGGCUAAGUGGACCACCGCGCGUGAAUCUUCUCACCGCGCCAUGUCCGUGGUUGACUCCUGGCAGUUUUGCGCCAAGCUAGCCCGCCAAAUUAUGAAGGGAUGGGGCACGAACCUCGGCCGUGAUCUCCGUGACCGCAAGAAGGCCCUCCUGAGCGCCAUCCAAGUCCUGGACGCCCAUGCUGACUCGUCCGGGAUCUCUCCGGACGAGUGGAUGCUGAGAUAUGAUCUCGAGGACCAGCUCUCGGUCAUCUACGAUGACGAGGAGGCCUACUGGCGGCUGCGCGGCACCCAACAGUGGGCGCUCCAGGGUGACGCUAACACGACCUACUUCCAGGUGAUUUCCCACGGCCGACGUCAUCGCAACUCCAUCCACUCCUUGUGGGAAGGCGAUACUCAGCUUGUUCGCCCCUCAGACAUCCGAGCCCACGUAGAUCGCUUCAAUAAAGCCCUUUUCACCACCCCUCGGGGUGGGGCUGCGCUGGCCCCCGAUACCUCGUCGGGUGCCCAGCUUGUCUCCGCCGAGGCCAACGCCGCCUUGUUGGUGCCCUUCUCGGAGGAGGAAGUACUUGCGGCAAUCAAAGGAAUGAACCCCUCCUCGGCUCUGGCCCCGGAUGGAUUGCCAGUCUCGUUUUUCAAAAUGUUCUGGCAAACCAUCAAACCGGAAGUCAUGGCCCUCUUCGACGAGUUCUUCUCUGGGACCAUGGACCUUGGGCGCCUGAACUAUGGGAUUAUUACCCUCAUCCCCAAGGUUCCGGGGGCCUCGGACAUUUGCCAGUUCCGCCCGAUCACGGUGAUUAAUGUGAUAUUCAGGAUCCUGGCUACAGGGUACGCCAAUAGGGUGACCCUUCUAGCGGACUCUAUCGCCCACCCCAACCAAUCCGCCUUCAUCCAAGGCCGGUUUAUUUUGGAUGGGGUCUUGGUCUUUCAUGAAGUCCUCCAUGAAGUCUGA